GAUGAACGCUGGCGGCGUGCUUAACACAUGCAAGUCGAACGGAAAGGCUCCUGCUUGCAGGGGUACUCGAGUGGCGAACGGGUGAGUAACACGUGGGUGAUCUGCCCUGCACUUCGGGAUAAGCCUGGGAAACUGGGUCUAAUACCGGAUAGGACCACAUUUUGGAUGGUGUGGUGGAAAGUUUUUCGGUGUGGGAUGAGCUCGCGGCCUAUCAGCUUGUUGGUGGGGUAAUGGCCUACCAAGGCGUCGACGGGUAGCCGGCCUGAGAGGGUGUACGGCCACAUUGGGACUGAGAUACGGCCCAGACUCCUACGGGAGGCAGCAGUGGGGAAUAUUGCACAAUGGGCGCAAGCCUGAUGCAGCGACGCCGCGUGGGGGAUGACGGCCUUCGGGUUGUAAACUCCUUUCGCUAGGGACGAAGCGCAAGUGACGGUACCUGGAGAAGAAGCACCGGCCAACUACGUG
rnacentral:rRNA from 1 species